rnacentral:ncRNA from 1 species
AUAAAGUUUUAUUCUUGCUUAUAAUUUUGUUUAUAUUUUAAUUUACAUGUAAGUUUUUGCGUGAAAUUACUAAAUAUUAAAAAUAUUUAAUAUAAAUUUAAUCGCAGUAAUUAAUAUUAUAAAUUUAAAGAAAUUUAGAUAUAGUAAAAUUAUUAAAUAUUGGUAAAAUUUGUGCCAGCAACCGCGGUUAUACAAAAAAUAUGAAUAAAUUUUAUUAGUAAAAGUUAAAUUGUUCUUAUAUUUAAAUAAAUUAAUUUUUUUAAGUGAAAUUUUAAAAUUAAUUAAUUAAUCUAAAAUAAUAUUGAAACUAAAAAAUUUUUAUAAAAAACUAGGAUUAGAUACCCUAUUAUUAAAAAAAUAAAUUUAAAUACUGGAGUAUUAAUAGUUAUAGUCUUUAAACUUAAAGAAUUUGGCGGUAUUUUAAUCUAUUCAGAGGAACCUGUUCUAUAAUCGAUAUUCCACGUUGGACUUUACUUAAAUUUGUUUUCAAUUUGUAUACCGCCGUUAAUGAUUAUCUUAAUAGAGUAAUAAUUUUCUUAUUUUUAUAUAAAAAUAUAUCAGGUCAAGGUGCAGUUUAUAUUUAAGGAAGAAAUGGGUUACAAUAAAAUUAUUUAUAUGAAAUAAAAAUUGAAAUAUUUUUAGGAAAGUGGAUUUGAUAGUAAAAUUAUGUAUAUAAUUAAUUUGAUUUUAGCUCUAAAAUAUGUACACAUCGCCCGUCGCUCUUAUUUCUGUAUUUAUACUAUAAAAUAAGAUAAGUCGUAACAUAGUAGAAUUACUGGAAAGUGAUUCUAGAAUGAC